UACAGAGGUCUCAAGCGUUGUUCGGAUUCAUUGGGCGUAAAGGGCGCGUAGGCGGGCAGGUAAGUCAGUGGUGAAAUCCCCGGGCUUAACCCGGGAACUGCCAUUGAUACUAUCUGACUUGAAUAUCCUGGAGGUGAGCGGAAUAUGUCAUGUAGCGGUGAAAUGCUUAGAUAUGACAUAGAACACCCAUUGCGAAGGCAGCUCACUGCGGGAUCAUUGACACUGAGGCACGAAAGCGUGGGGAUCAAACAGG
rnacentral:rRNA from 1 species